rnacentral:rRNA from 1 species
UUACGGGAGGCAGCAGUAGGGAAUCUUCCGCAAUGGACGAAAGUCUGACGGAGCAACGCCGCGUGAGCGAUGAAGGCCUUCGGGUCGUAAAGCUCUGUUGUUAGGGAAGAACAAGUAUCGGAGUAACUGCCGGUACCUUGACGGUACCUAACCAGAAAGCCACGGCUAACUACGUGCCAGCAGCCGCGGUAAUACGUAGGUGGCAAGCGUUGUCCGGAAUUAUUGGGCGUAAAGCGCGCGCAGGCGGUCCUUUAAGUCUGAUGUGAAAGCCCACGGCUCAACCGUGGAGGGUCAUUGGAAACUGGGGGACUUGAGUGCAGAAGAGGAAAGCGGAAUUCCACGUGUAGCGGUGAAAUGCGUAGAGAUGUGGAGGAACACCAGUGGCGAAGGCGGCUUUCUGGUCUGUAACUGACGCUGAGGCGCGAAAGCGUGGGGAGCAAACAGGAUUAGAUACCCUUGUAGUC